UACGGAGGGGGCUAGCGUUGUUCGGAAUUACUGGGCGUAAAGCGCGCGUAGGCGGACCUGCAAGUCGGGGGUGAAAGCCCGAGGCUCAACCUCGGAACUGCCUUCGAUACUGCGGGUCUCGAGUCCGGGAGAGGUGAGUGGAAUUCCUAGUGUAGAGGUGAAAUUCGUAGAUAUUUAGGAAGAACACCAGUGGCGAAGGCGGCUCACUGGCCCGGUACUGACG
rnacentral:rRNA from 1 species